CAGCAGCCGCCGCGGUAAUACGUAGGUGGCGAGCGUUGUCCGGAUUUACUGGGCGUAAAGGGAGUGUAGGCGGUCUUUUAAGUCUGAUGUGAAAGCCCACGGCUCAACCGUGGAGGGUCAUUGGAAACUGGGAGACUUGAGUGCAGAAGAGGAGAGCGGAAUUCCAUGUGUAGCGGUGAAAUGCGUAGAUAUAUGGAGGAACACCAGUGGCGAAGGCGGCUCUCUGGUCUGUAACUGACGCUGAGGAGCGAAAGCGUGGGGAGCGAACAGGAUUAGAUACCCGCGUAGUCCCUGUCUCUUAUAC
rnacentral:rRNA from 1 species